GGCGGCGUGCUUAACACAUGCAAGUCGAACGAUGAAGCCCAGCUUGCUGGGUGGAUUAGUGGCGAACGGGUGAGUAACACGUGAGUAACCUGCCCUUAACUCUGGGAUAAGCCUGGGAAACUGGGUCUAAUACCGGAUAGGAGCGUCCACCGCAUGGUGGGUGUUGGAAAGAUUUAUCGGUUUUGGAUGGACUCGCGGCCUAUCAGCUUGUUGGUGAGGUAAUGGCUCACCAAGGCGACGACGGGUAGCCGGCCUGAGAGGGUGACCGGCCACACUGGGACUGAGACACGGCCCAGACUCCUACGGGAGGCAGCAGUGGGGAAUAUUGCACAAUGGGCGCAAGCCUGAUGCAGCGACGCCGCGUGAGGGAUGACGGCCUUCGGGUUGUAAACCUCUUUCAGUAGGGAAGAAGCGAAAGUGACGGUACCUGCAGAAGAAGCACCGGCUAAC
rnacentral:rRNA from 1 species